AUUGAACGCUGGCGGCAGGCCUAACACAUGCCAGUCGAACGGUAACAGGAAGAAGCUUGCUUCUUUGCUGACGAGUGGCGGACGGGUGAGUAAUGUCUGGGAAACUGCCUGAUGGAGGGGGAUAACUACUGGAAACGGUAGCUAAUACCGCAUAACGUCGCAAGACCAAAAAGGGGGACCUUCGGGCCUCUUGCCAUCGGAUGUGCCCAGAUGGGAUUAGCUAGUAGGUGGGGUAACGGCUCACCUAGGCGACGAUCCCUAGCUGGUCUGAGAGGAUGACCAGCCACACUGGAACUGAGACACGGUCCAGACUCCUACGGGAGGCAGCAGUGGGGAAUAUUGCACAAUGGGCGCAAGCCUGAUGCAGCCAUGCCGCGUGUAUGAAGAAGGCCUUCGGGUCGUAAAGUACUUUCAGCGGGGAGGAAGGGAGUAAAGUUAAUACCUUUGCUCAUUGACGUUACCCGCAGAAGAAGCACCGGCUAACUCCGUG
rnacentral:rRNA from 1 species